AGAGUGAACGCUGGCGGUAGGCCUAACACAUGCAAGUCGAACGGCAGCACGGUAAGAGCUUGCUCUUAUGGGUGGCGAGUGGCGGACGGGUGAGGAAUACAUCGGAAUCUACCUUUUGGUGGGGGAUAACGUAGGGAAACUUACGCUAAUACCGCAUACGCCCUUCGGGGGAAAGCCGGGGACCAGCAAUGGCCUGGCGCUGAUAGAUGAGCCGAUGUCGGAUUAGCUAGUUGGUGAGGUAAUGGCUCACCAAGGCGACGAUCCGUAGCUGGUCUGAGAGGAUGAUCAGCCACACUGGAACUGAGACACGGUACCAGGACC
rnacentral:rRNA from 1 species